rnacentral:rRNA from 1 species
GGGAGUGGCAAGCGUUAUCCGGAAUUAUUGGGCGUAAAGCGUCCGCAGGCGGCCUUUCAAGUCUGCUGUUAAAGCGUGGAGCUCAACUCCAUCAUGGCAGUGGAAACUGAUCGGCUUGAGUAUGGUAGGGGCAGAGGGAAUUCCCGGUGUAGCNGUGAAAUGCGUAGAUAUCGGGAAGAACACCAGUGGCGAAGGCGCUCUGCUGGGCCAUUACUGACGCUCAUGGACGAAAGCCAGGGGAGCGAAAGGGAUUAGAUACCCCUGUAGUCCUGGCCGUAAACGAUGAACACUAGGU